ensembl:lncRNA
CUGCAUUCAGUCUUUCUGUCAGCCUGUCCCUCUCCAUUCAGCUCAGAGGGGGACGAUUGGUCGGAAUUGUAAGGCUAAAUAAAAGCCAUGUUUGGGCUUUGCAGGGGCGCUUUCGGAGGCAAAACUCUAUUUGAGGCUGGCAUUUCUGUCAAGCACAACAGGGAUUAGGUUUUAGGCUGAUCCGACCACCAGGAGAGGAGAGAGAGGCUGCCUGUGUUUAGAGAGGCUGAUUUGGGCUGCAGAGGUUGAUAUGGAACAGUAGUCAGACGCUUAAAUGCAAGACGUGGAAACUGAAGGGGGCCUGCUCAGUAUAAUCACUUGCAGAAAUGUUACACAACAGGGAAGAGGCAGAGAGAGGAUCAUAGCUGGAAUUGAGGUGGAAUGCGUGCCGGCCUACCUGCACAUCCCUCAUGGUGAGCUGCAUUAGCAUAAAUCCAUUAUGCAAGCACGGUGGUGGGCCUGGAAGUGCAUCAUAAGAGAGGAGCCCUAUUUAUCUAUUUAUAGCAUGUACCUGGCAUCUGUUCGACCAGCCUGAUCGCUGUCUGCCAAUUAACACAGUAGUGAAGUCAGACUGCAGUUGCGGUGGAGUACAGAGGGCAUCCUACAAG